GUGGAAGGAGUGAACAGAACAAAGGGCCUCCACAAAACUUCGACGCUGAUGCCUUAUCUUGGUGUAGAAGUAACCCUGGACUAGGGGUAUGUGAGCAGUCUAGAUAACAUCAAAACAAUGAGAGCCAGUUGGAGGUAGCUAGAGCACAUGCCUGCCUUGGACUCUUGAAGACCAUGCUGGUUGGGUUCUUUCUACCAUGCUGAAAAAUUUGCAAGGACAGGACUCACAGUAGCAGACAGUUUCUGCUUUCCCAGGACCUACUUGGCUAAGUAUGGAGAAGCUCUUCAUCAUCAGAAGCUUUGCACCCCAGAGGCACUCAGUACCUGUAUCACUGGACAAGUCAUUUCAUCUUCCUGUGCCUCAGUUUCCCCAUCUGCAAAGUGAA